ensembl:lncRNA
GUGGGAGGCGCGGAGCCCGAGGCAGGCCAGGUCUAAUUCUCCUCCUGGAGAGCUGGGCUGGGCAGGGCGGGGCUGGAGGGUGAGCCGGGCCUCCGAGGCCCUGGAGGAAGACGGAGGGAGGCUGCGGCCCUGGCCCUGGCCCUGGCCCUGGCCCUGAGCCCCUGAGCGCCGGGCUGGGUGCCGGCUCUGCCUAGGAUACCUGGGCGACAGGUCGCGGGUGAGGGAGGCAGGGAGGGAGCGUCCGUCAUGGGGCUCAGAGCUUGGCGGGUUUUCUGGGUCAUUCUGAGUCCCGUGCUGGGCCACACACUUCCUUUCAUGUUUCUGGCUUGGUUUUCCUGACUCAUGGUCCCUGUCCUCCCUGAUAUUCUUGGCGUCGCGUGACCGCAGGAGCCAGGGUUCCGGCGCUGUGCUGGGAGAAGCCCAGGGCCCGACCCCGCGAGGCUGCCAGGCCCCCUUCCUCCCUGGCCCGCGAUGUCGAUGUCGCAGUAGACCGAGCACAAGAGCCUCGGAAGUUGCCGGUAUUUACACGAGCCAGCCAGCGGUUCUUGUUCUUUGUUCCUGCCGCCUCUCAUAACGUCACACCCUCUCCUGGCCACAAGCGCCCCACCGCGUGCGCGUGCGCGGCCUGGCGCUUCAUCAGGCUCCCGACCUCCAUCUCACCAUCUAACUGGGACCGGGCCCAGUCCCGGCAGCUCUUUCCGGUUUCCUCUGGCAGCCACAUGCAGCCCAGCAGCAAGCCUGUCAGCUCCAGGGCACCGCCCGGCCGCAGGCCCUCUCCGCCACCUAGCACAGGGAGCGCGCUGCUGCCCAGUGGCGCCUGACUUCCUCACUGCCCUUGGCUCUGGCCACCUGGCCUUCCUGCCUGCCCCAAAGGCCCCAGCGGCUUCUGUCUCGGGCCCUUUGCACCUGCUCCCCUCCAUCUGGACAGCUUCCCCAUGUCACCUGUGGAGAGCUGCGUGUGCCGCGCCUUAAAGAUGGCGCUGGUUUCCGCCUUCCGCCAUCCCGACGGCGAGAGCUCUUUAUGAUAAACAACUCCUUAUUUGGCUGUGAUGUGUCUGAUGCUCUGCCCCCUCUUACGUGUACCUAUCCGCAUUCGCCACAUGACUAUCCGUGAUUGGUUGGUUCAGGGGUACUUAUUCUAGGGACGGGUGCUCCCCAGGGGUAGAAGAAAAAGAAUGUUAAGUUUUCCUGAAUAAACUGCUAGAAGAAGAGCGUUGGUGUUGCGUCGUCAUUGCUGGUCAAAGGCGAACGCGACAGUCACCUUCUCCUGGACGCCUUUCUGAACUCAUUCUCACCUCUCCAGUCUGUUAGCCGAAUCCUUAAUCUGCUCUAUCCCACUCAUGCACUUGAUCAGGGAUACACCUCAUCCACCUUGUUACACACUUAGUAAUGACAGAUUUCGGCUGAUGACGGAUAUACUUUACUGGCCUCACCACAUGUCCUAAGGGCAGGGACCAUGACUGAUCUGUCCUCAGUCUCCUAAACACCCUUCGUAUCUUGAAGGCUCAAGGUCUUGUGGACUAUUUAAGAGGAUGAGCUAUCACUGAAAGGAGAAGAGACAGGCUGAAAUGGGCCAGGGAUUUAGCUCAGUGGUUCUGCUGCCUGCCUCGCAAACGCAAGGUCCAGAGUUCGAUCCCUGGUACCAGAAGGAAAAAAAGAAAUGAAAAAAGAGACAGACUGAAGAACAAACAAAAGGAGAGGAGAAAAAAGGAAAAGAAAAGAAGGGCUAGGCUAAGGCCUGUCCUACCUCUAACAUCCCCUGUGUCAUGGAUGGUUGUUGUGCUGUCUUACGCCACAGUAGGCAUCCUGGGCAGAGGUAGCAAAGGGUGGGGGCAGUUACGUGGGAGGCACCUGCCUAAGGAAGGGAAGAUAUGGAUGGUAACAGAGAGGCAGGAUCCAGCUGUGAUCAAGUGAAGCAAGCAAAACCAAACCGACACACUAAACCACCUCCACCCUCUCUAAAGAGAGUGAACUGAGAGGGAACCAGAAGAUCAAGUGCAGAGUUGUUAGGAAGUCUGGAGAGGAAGGGAGAAGGUCUAGAGAAGUGAGAUCUUUC